CUUGCCUACGGGACGCAGCAGUGGGGAAUAUUGGGCAAUGGGCGCAAGCCUGACCCAGCAACGCCGCGUGAAGGAAGAAGGCUUUCGGGUUGUAAACUUCUUUUCUCAGGGACGAAGCAAGUGACGGUACCUGAGGAAUAAGCCACAGCUAGCUCCGUGCCAGCAGCCGCGGUAAUACGUAGGUGGCAAGCGUUAUCCGGAUUUACUGGGUGUAAAGGGCGUGUGGGCGGGAACGCAGGUCAGAUGUGAAAACCAUGGGCUC
rnacentral:rRNA from 1 species